UCAGGAUGAACGCUAGCUACAGGCUUAACACAUGCAAGUCAGGGGCAGCAUGAUCAAAGCUUGCUUGAUUGAUGGCGACCGGCGCACGGGUGAGUAACGCGUAUCCAACCUUCCCCUUAGUAGGGCAUAGCCCGGCGAAAGUCGGAUUAAUACCCUAUGUUAUUCGUCGAGGACAUCUGAAGUGAAUCAAAGAUUUAUCGCUAAGGGAUGGGGAUGCGUCUGAUUAGGUUGUUGGCGGGUAACGGCCCACCAAGCCAUCGAUCAGUAGGGGUUCUGAGAGGAAGGUCCCCCACAUUGGUACUGAGACACGGACCAAACUCCUACGGGAGGCAGCAGUGAGGAAUAUUGGUCAAUGGGCGAGAGCCUGAACCAGCCAAGUAGCGUGCCAGGAUGACUGCCCUAUGGGUUGUAAACUGCUUUUAUACGGGGAUAAAGUGAGGUAUGCAUACCUUUUUGUAGGUACCGUAUGAAUAAGGACCGGCUAAUUCCGUGCCAGCAGCCGC
rnacentral:rRNA from 1 species